rnacentral:rRNA from 1 species
AACGAACGCUGGCGGCAGGCUUAACACAUGCAAGUCGAGCGAGAACGCACCUUCGGGUGUUAUUAAAGCGGCAAACGGGUGAGUAACAUGUGGGAACGUACCUUUUAGUUCGGAAUAGCCCCGGGAAACUGGGAUUAAUGCCGGAUACGCUCUACGGAGGAAAGAUUUAUCGCUAAAAGAUCGGCCCGCACUAGAUUAGUUUGUUGGUGAGGUAACGGCUCACCAAGGCGACGAUCUAUAGCUGGUCUGAGAGGAUGAUCAGCCACACUGGGACUGAGACACGGCCCAGACUCCUACGGGAGGCAGCAGUGAGGAAUAUUGGACAAUGGAGGAAACUCUGAUCCAGCCAUGCCGCGUGUGUGAUGAAGGCCUUCGGGUUGUAAAACACUUUCAGUCGUGAAGAUAAUGACGGUAACGACAUAAGAAGCCCCGGCUAAUUCCG